rnacentral:rRNA from 1 species
CAGCAGCCGCGGUAACACCGGCGGCCCGAGUGGUGAUCGUGAUUAUGGGUCUAAGGGCCGUAGCCGGUUGGUCAGUCCUCCGGGAAAUCUGAUAGCUCAACUAUUAGGCUUUCGGGGGAUACUGCCAGACUUGGAACCGGGAGAGGUAAGAGGUACUACAGGGGUAGGAGUGAAAUCUUGUAAUCCCUGUGGGACCACCUGUGGCGAAGGCGUCUUACCAGAACGGGUUCGACGGUGAGGGACGAAAGCUGGGGGGCACGAGCCGGAUUAGAUACCCGGGUAGUCCCAGCCGUAAACGAUGCUCGCUAGGUGUCAGGCAUGGCGCGACCGUGUCUGGUGCCGCAGGGAAGCCGUGAAGCGAGCCACCUGGGAAGUACGGCCGCAAGGCUGAAACUUAAAGGAAUUGGCGGGGGAGCACAACAACGGGUGGAAGCCUGCGGUUUAAUUGGACUCAACGCCGGACAACUCACCGGGGGCGACAGCAAUAUGUAGGCCAAGCUGAAGACUUUGCCUGAAUCGCUGAGGAGUGGUGCAUGG